UACGUAGGGUGCGAGCGUUAAUCGGAAUUACUGGGCGUAAAGCGUGCGCAGGCGGUCUGUUAAGACCGAUGUGAAAUCCCCGGGCUUAACCUGGGAACUGCAUUGGUGACUGGCAGGCUUUGAGUGUGGCAGAGGGAGGUAGAAUUCCACGUGUAGCAGUGAAAUGCGUAGAUAUCUGGAGGAACACCGGUGGCGAAGGCGGCGUCCUGGACCAACACUGACACUGAGGAGCGAAAGCCAGGGGAGCAAACGGG
rnacentral:rRNA from 1 species